ACCUCUCGCGGCUUACCCCCUCCGCCCCCUACUCGUGUUCUUCCUUCUCCAUUUUUCUCGCGCCGGGCUUAGAUGGCGGCGGCGGCGGCGGCGCAGGGAACCUCCUGUCAAUGUAGAGGAAGGGGAAGAAGGGGCACAGCAGGGUGGAAUCGUGCUAUCCAGCAAAUGAUCUGUGCAUUACUUUAAGCUUCACGAGCAAAGCUGUUUGCUGCUCCAUGCAUUGUUAUCUGGCUGAGCCUGGAACAUCAAGCAGAGGCACCAGACAACAAUCACGAGUCAGGUGAGUUUAAUUUAGUUAUAAUCUGUCUUCGUGGAUCAAACAUAAUGCGAGGUAAAUUGGCAUAAUGCUUGGAUGAAUUUAGCUUUUUGUCAAACACGAUUUAUCAAUGGCUAGUAAUUGGCAUAUUUAACAACGACAAGUCAGUAGCUUUUAUAUCAAUAUGCUUUACCUACAAACUUCCCUAUCAUGAGCUAUUGUAUAUACAUUGUUGUUCACUGAGAAUUGGCCAAAACACUUCGUCAGAAUUUAUCCUUACUUGUUUGCUCAUAUUAUAUUUAGGAUAUUUCAACAAUGUGCAAGCUACUGAAUUCAUAAUCAAAUAAGGGUGGUUGCAUACUGGUGACCUUGGAUACUUUGAUGAAAGAGGCCAAUGAAUCAUGCCUGAUGGCCCUUUCCGAUUAAUGAACGCUGCAGCAGACAGUAGAGGCAGUUUAGUUUGUUCGAAAUUAUUUGAUUUCUUGGGGCCUAGCUGUGAUGUGUUAGUUAUUCUUAUAUUUUGGAAUGAACCUUGAAUUGACUCAUAUGGUGUACUCCUUCAGGUCAGUUCUGUGAGUAUGUGUUGUUAUGUUUGAUGAAAACACAGUUUGAAAAAAUAAUUUAUUUGCGAUAAUGAAAUAGAGCCUGCUCUCUUAUCAUUAUAACUGCUGUGUUGGCUAUUGAAAUUGCAGUCUACAUAUGGCUUCCAAAGUUCUGACUACACAAUGCAAAAAUUCUCUUACUGCAUAUCAUGGCUUCCUGCUUCUUACUCGAUACGUGUAGGGAAUUUAAACAGAUCUGCGCCUGCAAACAUGGCUUCCUGAUUCUGCCUGUCAUGUGGCCGCUACUGGAGUGUUGGAGAUGCUUUACUGGACUGUUUGGAAUGUUGUACUUGUUAGUACUUACUGAAGUUUAUAUGUGUGGAAGUGGUACUUGUGAAAUUUGAUCUUGCGUGUUUUGCUUAAAAAAUGAUAUGAAUCUUUGAUUUUAGUUGAGUAUCUCUCUUCUGAAGACGUGUUGUAAAGUCUGAAGUUGUGCCA